rnacentral:rRNA from 1 species
GACGAACGCUGGCGGCGUGCCUAAUACAUGCAAGUCGAACGGGGGUAUUUAUUUCGAUGAAUACCUUAGUGGCGAACGGGUGAGUAACGCGUGAGCAACCUAUCCUUAAGAGGGGGAUAACAUCUGGAAACAGAUGCUAAUACCGCAUAAGACCACACUGCCGCAUGGCAGAGGGGUCAAAGGAGCAAUCCGUUUAAGGAGGGGCUCGCGUCCCAUUAGAUAGUUGGUGAGGUAACAGCUCACCAAGUCAGCGAUGGGUAGCCGAGCUGAGAGGCUGAUCGGCCACACUGGAACUGAGACUCGGUCCAGACUCCUACGGGAGGCAGCAGUGGGGAAUAUUGGGCAAUGGGGGGAACCCUGACCCAGCAACGCCGCGUGAGGGAAGAAGGCCUUCGGGUUGUAAACCUCUGUCAUUAGGGAAGAAGAAAGUGACGGUACCUAAUGAGGAAGCCCCGGCUAACUACGUGCCAGCCGCCGCGGUAA